GACGAACGCUGGCGGCGUGCUUAACACAUGCAAGUCGAACAGAAAGGCCCUGCUUUUGUGGGGUGCUCGAGUGGCGAACGGGUGAGUAACACGUGAGUAACCUGCCCUUGACUUUGGGAUAACUUCAGGAAACUGGGGCUAAUACCGGAUAGGAGCUCCUGCUGCAUGGUGGGGGUUGGAAAGUUUCGGCGGUUGGGGAUGGACUCGCGGCUUAUCAGCUUGUUGGUGAGGUAGUGGCUUACCAAGGCUUUGACGGGUAGCCGGCCUGAGAGGGUGACCGGCCACAUUGGGACUGAGAUACGGCCCAGACUCCUACGGGAGGCAGCAGUGGGGAAUAUUGCACAAUGGGCGGAAGCCUGAUGCAGCAACGCCGCGUGCGGGAUGACGGCCUUCGGGUUGUAAACCGCUUUCGCCUGUGACGAAGCGUGAGUGACGGUAAUGGGUAAAGAAGCACCGGCUAACUACGUG
rnacentral:rRNA from 1 species